GACGAACGCUGGCGGCGUGCUUAACACAUGCAAGUCGAACGAGCGGCGGACGGGUGAGUAAUGUCUGGGAAACUGCCUGAUGGAGGGGGAUAACUACUGGAAACGGUAGCUAAUACCGCAUACCAUCAGAUGUGCCCAGAUGGGAUUUGCUGAUGGGUGGGGUAACGGCUCACCUAGGCGACGAUCCCUAGCUGGUCUGAGAGGAUGACCAGCCACACGGGAACUGGGACACGGUCCGGACUCCUACGGGAGGAAGCAGUGGGGAAUAUUGCACAAUGGGCGAAAGCCUGAUACAGCCAGGCCGCGUGUGUGAAGAAGGCCUUCGGGUGGUAAAGCACUUUCAGCGGGGAGGCGUUACCCGCAGAAGAAGCACCGGCUAACUCCGUGCCAGCAGCCGCGGUAAUAC
rnacentral:rRNA from 1 species